rnacentral:lncRNA from 1 species
AAUCAAUGAGCUUUAUUGUAUUCACACAAAACACCAGCCACUUCAGAUGUCCUUUGGAGCAGCGCUGAAAGCCAUCACACAUCAUGGUCACCGAGUCUUUCCCUCCAAGCUCCACAUCAGCCCAGGGUUGCUUGAAACUCUGACAACCUGGCCUGAGAUUUUGAAGUGCAAAACCUGCUCUCUUUUCGUCACAAUCCCUGUAAUGAAUUGA